rnacentral:rRNA from 1 species
UGAUUAGGCAUGCAAGUCGAACGAGAACCGGGUAGCAAUAUCCGGGGAAAAGUGGCGAAAGGGGCAGUAAGGCGUGGGUAACCUACCCUGGGGUUGGGCAUAGCCGGUCUAACGGCCGGGUAAUUCCCAGCGACGUCGAUGGGGGACAUCCCCUGACGACCAAAGAUUCAUCGCCCCGGGAGGGGCCCACGUGAUAUUAGCUAGUUGGUGGGGUAACGGCCCACCAAGGCGAAGAUGUCUAGCGGGUGUGAGAGCACGACCCACGCCACUGGCACUGAGACACUGGCCAGACUCCUACGGGAGGCUGCAGUCGAGGAUCUUCGGCAAUGGGCGCAAGCCUGACCGAGCGACGCCGCGUGUGCGAUGAAGGCCUUCGGGUUGUAAAGCACUGUCGAGGGGGAGGAAGCCGCAAGGUUGACCUAUCCCUGGAGGAAGCACGGGCUAAGUUCGUGCCAGCAGCCGCGGUAAGACGAACCGUGCGAACGUUGUUCGGAAUCACUGGGCUUAAAGGGCGCGUAGGCGGGCUUGAUAGUCCGUGGUGAAAGCCCCCGGCUUAACCGGGGAAGUGCCGUGGAUACUGCAAGCCUGGAGGAGGGUAGGGGCAUCUGGAACGCUGGGUGGAGCGGUGAAAUGCGUUGAUAUCCAGCGGAACUCCGGUGGCGAAGGCGAGGUGCUGGACCCUUUUCUGACGCUGAUGCGCGAAAGCCA